GGCCCCGUAACUCAGAGGUAGAGUGGUAGCAUUACAAGCUACGUGCCGUGGGUUCAAAUCCCACCGGGGCUA
rnacentral:tRNA from 1 species